rnacentral:rRNA from 1 species
GACGAACGCUGGCGGCGUGCUUAACACAUGCAAGUCGAACGGUAAGGCCCUUCGGGGUACACGAGUGGCGAACGGGUGAGUAACACGUGGGUGAUCUACCCUGCACUUCGGGAUAAGCCUGGGAAACUGGGUCUAAUACCGGAUAGGACCACUGCCUGCAUGGGUGGUGGUGGAAAGCUUUUGCGGUGUGGGAUGGGCCCGCGGCCUAUCAGCUUGUUGGUGGGGUGAUGGCCUACCAAGGCGACGACGGGUAGCCGGCCUGAGAGGGUGACCGGCCACACUGGGACUGAGAUACGGCCCAGACUCCUACGGGGGGCAGCAGUGGGGAAUAUUGCACAAUGGGCGCAAGCCUGAUGCAGCGACGCCGCGUGAGGGAUGACGGCCUUCGGGUUGUAAACCUCUUUCAGCACCGACGAAGCGCAAGUGACGGUAGGUGCAGAAGAAGGACCGGCCAACUACGUGCCAGCCGCCGCUGUAA